AGUCAGUGAUGAUUAAUGUGUAAGAGUAGUGGACAGAAGUGAUUUCUGACGAACUAUACACUGAUGCU
rnacentral:snoRNA from 1 species